rnacentral:rRNA from 1 species
UUGGAGGGCAGUCUGGUGCCAGCAGGCGCGGUAAUUCCAGCUCCAAUAGCGUAUAUUAAAGUUGUUGCAGUUAAAAAGCUCGUAGUUGAAUUUCGGGGUUAGUAGGUUGGUCAUGCCACUGGUAUGAACUGGUCUCACUGAUUCCUCCUUCCUGAUGAGCCGUAAUGCCAUUAAUUUGGUGUUGCGAGGAAUCUGGACUGUUACUUUGAAAAAAUUAGAGUGUUUAAAGCAAGCUAACGCUUGAAUACAUUGGCAUGGAAUAAUGAAAUAGGACGUUCGAUCCUAUUUUGUUGGUUUCUAGGAUUGACGUAAUGAUUAAUAGGGAUAGUUGGGGGCAUUAGUAUUCAAUUGUCAGAGGUGAAAUUCUUGGAUUUAUUGAAGACUAACUACUGCGAAAGCAUUUGCCAAGGAUGUUUUCAUUAAUCAAGAACGAAAGUUAGGGGAUCGAAGACGAUCAGAUACCGUCGUAGUCUUAACCAUAAACUAUGCCGACUAGGGAUCGGAUGAUGUUAUUUUUAAUGACUCAUUCGGCGCCUUACGGGAAAC